rnacentral:rRNA from 1 species
UACGGGGGGAGCAAGCGUUGUUCGGAUUUACUGGGCGUAAAGGGCGCGUAGGCGGCCACCGCAAGUCGACUGUGAAAUCUCCGGGCUUAACCCGGAAAGGUCAGCCGAUACUGCGGGGCUAGAGUGCAGAAGGGGCAACUGGAAUUCUCGGUGUAGCGGUGAAAUGCUUAGAUAUGACAUAGAACACCAAUUGCGCAGGCAGCUUACUACACAGUAAUUGACACUGAGGCACGAAAGCGUGGGGAUCAAACAGG